CGACUCCCUCGGCGAAGAGGCCCCCGCGGCCGGCCGAGCUCCGUGGACUCCGCAGGAGCGGCCCCGCCCCUCACACUACGCCGGGCGGUUCCCUCCGAGCCCCGCCGGGACAGCGUCGACGCUGCACACACCCCAGAGAAGCCAGAGGACGGCGCCUGCACCGGACACAGCGCAACACCGGCACAGCACAGCGUCCACACCACAAGUGAGCCUAGGCAGCUGUGUCUACACUGCAGACGCCGGCCUGAGCGCACGCGUCUUCAUGCAGGCUCAGCAGAGGGGGAAGAACACCUCCCCGAGGGUGGAAGAGCUGUGGCCAGCAGACAGAUGGACGGACAGACGGACACAGGCGAACAGGCAGCGCAGGGGUGAGCCGAGCCGGUCAAAUGGGCCAGGACCCGGCUCCGUGUGCCCUUCACAGUCAGGAUGACAGAACCCCGUGGAAUAUGAAAAAUGCCGGGAGACAGACCCCGGAGGCACAGCCCCUCACCGGGCAGGGAGGCCGCCAGAGGGAAGCGCAGCUCCAGGUGCGCGCCCCCCCACGCCCACCCCAUCCCCCGCUGGGCAGGGAGGGACCCCACCUGCGCCCUCAGGCGGUGCUCAAGAUGGGGAUAGGGUGAGCUGCAGAACCGAUUUCAUCUCUGGAGUGAAAUGGAAUGAUGGGUUUGUGUGAAAUCAGGACAGAGCUGGGGAGGUGGCGGAGCCGGGACGGGAAGAGGGCAGAGCAGUGGGCUCAUUCCCCGGAACCAGCAUCUCCUGGCCCGGUUUAGCCACUGAGGGAAGCUUCUCUGUGUAUUGAGCCUGGCUGCCCAGAGAGCAGCCCCACCCUCCCUCCUGCUCCUGCUCCUCUCCCUCCCCCAACUUCUCGUCCCCUCUUCCUCACCCCUGCCCCCACCUCCAGCCUGACUCUAACGCUGCACUGGCCUUUAGUGUCUCAGAACACAGAGCAGUUGCUGGGCAGAAUCCCCCGUGCCACGAUGCGUCCACGCACAACACGGGAACUAAACCACCCGAAACGCAGCAGGUUAAAGCAGCGCUGGGCUCCUGGUCCUCACAAUUCUCUGGGUCCAUGGGGGCUCCCUGGGCUGGCUCAUGGGCCGCCAUGGUCACCAGCAGGGCUGGCCAGGCCGGGCAGCAGACGGCUCCUGGCAGCUGGCGGGUGGGGCUGGCCGUCGCUGCGGCCUGGGCUGUCCUCCGCACGGCCUCCUGCCUCAGUUUUCUGUUUCUGAUGAGCCCCGUAUCUAGCGGUUCAGAGCAACGCCAGUUCAUCCCCUGGCAGCUUCCAUGGCCAGGACUCAGCCACGGUGUGGGUGGAUUUGCCACUCAGGGCUCACAGCCUGGAGUCCAGGUGCCAGCAGG
rnacentral:lncRNA from 10 species